GGCGUGACUCUUGGCUGCCAUGUUUGUGCAAUCACCACGCUGCCUGGGCGGCCACAGCGGAUUUGGCUCCGGGACAGCAUGUGACCCACACUGGGCCAAUCAGAGGCACUUCCUGGGGAAUUUGCCCUGACAGACACAGAGCCUGGGGAUGGAGAUUUUUCUGAGAUGCUGACUCAGGCUCCUUCCCGCAAAUUUUGCAUCAGCUUGAGCUCAGCAGGAGUAGAAUCCGCAACCGACAAACUCCUAAGAUGGCUUUGUUCAUUCCCACCUCCAUCAUAAAUCAGGUGGGGGUGGAGAAGCAAUAUCCCUAAGGGAAAAAUAAAAGUCUCCAAGCUAGGACUUUCAGCCUGGGGCCUGACAUUGCACAGAAAAUGGCCACUGCGGUCUACCAGGAACGCAGCCAGUCAAUGGUUUUCCUGAAACAAACUCUCAUCAUCUGAGAGAACCUGCAUGCACCUCUGCUCCCUGCACCCCAGAGGGAACCAGCAGUGUGCCCUGGGAAAAGCUGGGGCCCCACAGGUCCCAGUGUCUGAACAGGGUCUCGUAUAAAGAAGCACCGUCCAGCGACUAUUGCAGCGUGCACUGGCAUCUCGAAGACAGUAUCAACGUGUAUCUACAUCACAACCCGUAACCUUGCUCCUCAAGUUCCCUGUCCUCCCCUCCCAACCCCUGCACCCACAGCUGAUCAUGAGCCUCACACCCACCCACCUCCAGCAGUGCCAGAUUCACUCCUUACUUCCCCACUCUCUUCAUAUGGAGAGGGACCCUAUAUAUAUAUAUAUAUAUUUAAAUAUUCACAUUUAAAUUCUCAUAGAGAACUCAUACACACUUCUUAACAGUCCCAGAGAAGCCCCACCCUGAGUCAGGCACACGUAUCAGACCCAGAAUGAAAUGCGAUGCUGUAUUUCCCUAACUCCCUUCCAUCUCAGAUAUGCCCAGGCUCUAGCCAUCCACCUCCAAGCCAGCCCGGCCAGCCUGGUUCUGGUCCCAAUCGUCUCUCUCCUGAUUACUCCGCAGUCUCCUCUCUGGCCUCUUUCUUUCUGGAUUUUCCAGAUGGGCUUUCUAAAAUGGAAAUGUGCCCCCAUCAUUCCCCUGCACAAACCCUCUGGUGGCCCUGAGAUAAUGUGCAUCGCAUGGCCUGAGGUUGCUGGCGGUCUGGCCAUUCGUCUGCCCCUGCAGCCUGGGCCUGCCCCUCCCAUCAUACCCUGCUCCCUGCUGCUUGAACACUCCUGAAGAUGUCAUGCUGUUUUGCUUCCAGGAAUAUCCACACACUAUCCCUCUGUAAGGAGCAUGGACCAGGUUAAAUAAUAAUCGAUUGAGCAUUUACUAUGUACCAAGUGUGAUUUAAAAAAUUUUACAUUUAUUAUCAUCAUGAAAAUCCCAAAUGUCUCCCAUUCCUGUGGUAUAUUUGAGGAAAUUGAGGAUCAGAGUGGCUCCUGUCGGGGGGAGCUGGAUGGGUGCCCAGGCAGCUUCUGAUCUGUGCUUCUGACACUGCACCACCCCUGCCUUAGAGCACAUCCAUGACUCUAAACCUGCAGCUCCAGCUCCAAAUGAGGGGCCGAGUGAAUUGCGUCCUUGCAAGGUCAUGGGAGCAGUAUGAGGGCUCAGAGCUUGGUUGGGUCUGGGUUUCAGUCCUGACUGUUGGUUCCUAACUGGAGGACCUGGAGCAAGUGACCUAGCCUCUCUUGGCCUCCGUUUCCCCUUCAGUAAGAUGGGCUUUAAAAACCAUACCUUGCUGGAUGUGGAGAAACUGGAAUCCUUUUGCACUGAUGGUGGGCAUGGCACAGCUGCUGUGCAAAACAGUAUGGCACCUCCUCAAAGAACUGAAAAUAGAGUUAUCACUUGAUCCAGCAAUUCCAGCAAUUCUUGAUGCAAACCCAAAGGAAUUGAAAGCAGGGUCGAGAAGAGACACCUAUGUUCAUAGCAGCAUUAUUCACAACAGCAGAAAUGUGGGAGCAAUGCAGGUGCCCAUCAAUAGAUGAAUGGAUAUGCAAAAUGCAGUGCAUUCACACAAUGGAAUAUUAUACAGCCUUAAAAAGGAAAGGAAUUCUGACACAGGCUCCAGCAUGGAUGAACCUUGAGGACAUUACUCUGAGUGACAUAGGCCAGUCACAAAAGUAGAAAUACUGUAUGAUUCCAUGUACAGGAGGUCUCUAGAGCAGUCAAUUUCAUAGAGACAAAGCAGAAGGGUGGUCACUAGGGGUCGGGGAGCAGGGAAGUGGGGAGUUAGUGUUUAACAGGAACAGAGUUUCAUUUUAGGAAGAUGAAAGGGCUCUGGAGGUGGUGAUGGUUGUAUAACAUUAUGAAGGUACUUAAUGCCACUGAACUGUACACUUAAAAACGAUUAAGAUGGUGAAUUUUAGGUGUAUUUUACCACAGUCAAAAUUGAGAAGCAAAACAAAACAAAACAGUGCCUCACUGCCAUGGUUGAGUCGGAGGGGAAGAGUGCGAAUGCAGCCGGAAGACUUAGCACAGAGCCCCGCACACACCGAGCCGGAAGACUUAGCACAGAGCCCCGCACACACCGAGCCGGAAGACUUAGCACAGAGCCCCGCACACACCCAGCCGGAAGACUUAGCACAGCGCCCCGCACACGCGGAGCCGGAAGACAGUACAGCGCCCCGCACACGCCGAGCCGGAAGACAGCACAGCGCCCCGCACACGCCGAGCCGGAAGACAGCACAGCGCCCCGCACACGCCAAGCUGGAAGAAAGCACAGCGCCCCGCACACGCUGAGCCAAGCCCCCCUCCGAGCCAGCUGAGGCUGCUGCUGCUGCUGUUUGCGCUGUCGCUAUUAUGCGUGCAUACAGAAGCCUGCUCAGACAGCCUCACGGAACAGUGGUCAGCUGGAGACUGCCUUCCUGUGGGGGGCUUGCUUCAGUCCCAUCAGCUGGAGCUGUCAUCUUCUGAAGGAUUUUUCUAGACUGGGAGCAUGGGCUGUUUGCAGGAGCAGCAGCGACCCCAGCCCUCAGAGUCUGUGCUCCGUUUGUAGCCUAAGCGCUCAGAGCCUGGCGACACAACUACAAACAUGGAGAGCUUGGGGCUGGGGUCAAGGCCGGGGGUGACUCCUGGCUGGUCCCCAUCUCCUAAUCUCCUGUGAAAUGGGGGAGGGUUGCGGUGAUGAUGCAGACGAUGGGUCCAGCCCAGGGCCUAGCUCUUUGUGGGCGAUUGGGGGUGCUGUUUGCAUGAUGAGACUAAGCGCCACCCCCCAGACCUCUCUCCUUCUUGAUACGGGGGGAUGAAUCCUUUUUUCCAGGGUGUGUCUACAGAGUGUCUCAGUACCAGAACUGGAACUAGAACACAAGCUUUCUCAUUGCUGGGCUGGGCGUGGUUCCUCUGCGCUGCGCCUUCCAAAUUAGUGAGGUGUGCCCCAAGCCUGCAAUAACAAUUAGAGCUAAUAUUUAUUGAGCUUUCCUCGUGGCUCUUCUUUCGUCCGUACAGUGAGCCUGGGCGGUGGAUGCUCUUAACCCCAUCUUGAGGAUGGCCAAUAUGCAUUCAGAGAGGGUGAGCCACGUGUUCAGAUCACAAGCUGGUGAGCGGCAGGGCGGGACUUUGAAUUCAGGCAGUCUGAUGCUAGGGCCCACCCUGUUAACAGCCUCAUUACAUUGUGCAAAGAGGCUGGGACCCUCCAGGCCUUCCGGAGGUCUGGCUGGCCCUGAGGGGACUUCCCAGCAGCCAGGUUUGCUCCAGCUUUCAGCGUUUCCUCCUCUUGCCUCAGUUCGUUUCCCAAACUGCAGCCCCACAGCUGCCACCGCUGGCUCUGUGGGGACUGGGAGGGGGCACUGAGAUCACAGGGAAGGGCUGGCCCCGUGGCUGGAGGCCUCACCCCAAAGCAGCUCUGGGGACUGUGCCGGGCCUUUGUGAGCCGCACGUACUCAUUAAGCCGGGUUGAAUCGAAGGUCAGAUUUUACUGCAGAUCUGGAAAGAUCCUUGCUGGUCAGGCCAACCCAGAAACCAGCACUACAAAAGGGCUACAGGGGCUUUCCUGGCCAUUUCCGUGGAAGCUUUUAUGACUUGGGGGUUGAAAAAUCAAGAGCUGAGCUGAGAAGUCCUGUGGCCCCCUUGAGGUCCAGCCUGCUGGCAUCAGGCUCCAGGAACCUCCAGUGCUGGGGAUGUGGGAGCCUGCCGGGGGCCUCGUGGGUCUUUUCUCAGCUCCAUGGUGGCAGAUUUGCCCAGCAAAGGUGUCCUAGGCUGGAAUCAGAGCAGGAUGAAGAAGGAGGCAGAGGCAGAGAGGUGUCAGAGGAAGAAUUUCCCAAUGGUCAGAUGUGGAAUGUGAGUGGUGCAGGUGCAGAGAGAGAGA